rnacentral:rRNA from 1 species
GUAGUCCAUGCCGUAAACGUUGGGCACUAGGUGUGGGGAACAUUCCACGUUUUCCGCGCCGCAGCUAACGCAUUAAGUGCCCCGCCUGGGGAGUACGGCCGCAAGGCUAAAACUCAAAGGAAUUGACGGGGGCCCGCACAAGCGGCGGAGCAUGCGGAUUAAUUCGAUGCAACGCGAAGAACCUUACCAAGGCUUGACAUGCACUGGAUCGCUGCAGAGAUGUGGUUUUCUUUGGACUGGUGCACAGGUGGUGCAUGGUUGUCGUCAGCUCGUGUCGUGAGAUGUUGGGUUAAGUCCCGCAACGAGCGCAACCCUCGUUCCAUGUUGCCAGCACUUCGGGUGGGGACUCAUGGGAGACUGCCGGGGUCAACUCGGA